CCGGCGCACGGGUGCGUAACGCGUAUGCAACCUACCUUUAACAGGGGGAUAACACUGAGAAAUUGGUACUAAUACCCCAUAAUAUCAUAGAAGGCAUCUUUUAUGGUUGAAAAUUCCGAUGGUUAGAGAUGGCCUCGCGUCCGAUUAGCUAGUUGGUGAGGUAAUGGCCCACCAAGGCGACGAUCGGUAGCCGGACUGAGAGGUUGAACGGCCACAUUGGGACUGAGGCACGGCCCAG
rnacentral:rRNA from 1 species